UUGAACGCUGGCGGCAGGCCUAACACAUGCAAGUCGAGCGGAUGAAGGGAGCUUGCUCCUGGAUUCAGCGGCGGACGGGUGAGUAAUGCCUAGGAAUCUGCCUGGUAGUGGGGGAUAACGUCCGGAAACGGGCGCUAAUACCGCAUACGUCCUGAGGGAGAAAGUGGGGGAUCUUCGGACCUCACGCUAUCAGAUGAGCCUAGGUCGGAUUAGCUAGUUGGUGGGGUAAAGGCCUACCAAGGCGACGAUCCGUAACUGGUCUGAGAGGAUGAUCAGUCACACUGGAACUGAGACACGGUCCAGACUCCUACGGGAGGCAGCAGUGGGGAAUAUUGGACAAUGGGCGAAAGCCUGAUCCAGCCAUGCCGCGUGUGUGAAGAAGGUCUUCGGAUUGUAAAGCACUUUAAGUUGGGAGAAAGGGCAGUAAGUUAAUACCUUGCUGUUUUGACGUUACCAACAGAAUAAGCACCGGCUAACUUCGUG
rnacentral:rRNA from 1 species